rnacentral:rRNA from 1 species
GACGAACGCUGGCGGCGUGCUUAACACACGCAAGUCGAACGGUAAAGCCCUUCGGGGUACACGAGUGGCGAACGGGUGAGUAACACGUGGGUGAUCUGCCCUGCACUUCGGGAUAAGCCUGGGAAACUGGGUCUAAUACCGGAUAGGACCACUGCCUGCAUGGGGGGUGGUGGAAAGCUUUUGCGGUGUGGGAUGGGCCCGCGGCCUAUCAGCUUGUUGGUGGGGUGAUGGCCUACCAAGGCGACGACGGGUAGCCGGCCUGAGAGGGUGACCGGCCACACUGGGACUGAGAUACGGCCCAGACUCCUACGGGAGGCAGCAGUGGGGAAUAUUGCACAAUGGGCGCAAGCCUGAUGCAGCGACGCCGCGUGAGGGAUGACGGCCUUCGGGUUGUAAACCUCUUCCAGUAGGGACGAAGCGCAAGUGACGGUACCUACAGAAGAAGGACCGGCCAACUACGUGCCAGCCGCCGCAGUAA